rnacentral:rRNA from 1 species
AUACGUAGGGUGCGAGCGUUAAUCGGAAUUACUGGGCGUAAAGCGUGCGCAGGCGGUUUUGUAAGACAGGCGUGAAAUCCCCGGGCUCAACCUGGGAAUGGCGCUUGUGACUGCAAGGCUAGAGUGCGGCAGAGGGGGGUAGAAUUCCACGUGUAGCAGUGAAAUGCGUAGAGAUGUGGAGGAAUACCGAUGGCGAAGGCAGCCCCCUGGGACGAGACUGACGCUCAUGCACGAAAGCGUGGGGAGCAAACAGAAUUAGAUACCCCAGUAGUCC